rnacentral:rRNA from 1 species
UAGUACACUUAAAUUUAAUUAAUAAAUACUAGAAUAUUAAAAGUUAUGUUCUUUAAAUUUAAAAAAUUUGGCGGUGUUUUAGUCUAGUUAGAGGAACCUGUUUUAUAAACGAUACAACACGCAUUAUUUUACUUGUUUUAGUAAGUCAGCUUGUAUACCGUCAUUAUAAGAUAAUUUAGGAGAAAAUAUUAUUGGAAUCAUAUUAUUGAGUAUAUUAGAUCAAGGUGCAGCUUAUGAAUAAGUAAACAUGGGUUACAAUAAAAUUUAUUUAAUAUGGAUUAAGUGUUUAAAUAUAUUUAUGAAGGAGGAUUUAAUUGUAAGAGGAAAAGCAGUGAGGUUUUCUGAUAAAAGCUCUAAAUUAU